rnacentral:rRNA from 1 species
AGAGUUUGAUCCUGGCUCAGGACGAACGCUGGCGGCGUGCCUAACACAUGCAAGUCGAGCGAGGACCAGGGAAGAGCCUGCUCAGAACUGGUUCGAGCGGCGGACGGGUGAGUAACGCGUGAGCAACCUGCCUUCGACAGGGGGAUAACGCAUCGAAAGAUGUGCUAAUACCGCAUAAGACCACGGGGCCGCAUGGCCGUGGGGUCAAAGGAGCAAUCCGGUUGAAGAUGGGCUCGCGUCCGAUUAGCUGGUUGGUGGGAUAACAGCUUACCAAGGCGACGAUCGGUAGCCGACCUGAGAGGGUGAUCGGCCACAUUGGAACUGAGAGACGGUCCAGACUCCUACGGGAGGCAGCAGUGGGGAAUAUUGGGCAAUGGGCGAAAGCCUGACCCAGCAACGCCGCGUGAGGGAAGAAGGGUUUCGGCUCGUAAACCUCUGUCCUAUGGGACGAAGGAAGUGACGGUACCAUAGGAGGAAGCCCCGGCUAACUACGUGCC